rnacentral:misc_RNA from 1 species
UCGCCUCAAUGAUCAACUUCCCAUGUGCAUCCUCACCCACCUGCCCCACAAAGUACGUUGGGUAUGAGAGUUUACUACCACAAGCUGCCUGAUUGGCUCCCUUCCCACCUGCAAGUGNCUUGGCUGAGACGGUCUCUCCUUCUCUGGGUAGUCUCUCAAUUUCAACAUAGAUGUCAGCAUUGGCCGAGCCAACAACAACAAGCGGCGGGGCGUUGGCUUCCGG